AGAAGAUGUCAAGGGCGCACGGCGGAUGCCUUGGCACAGGAAGCCGAAGAAGGACGCGGCAAGCCGCGAUAGUCUGCGGGGAGGGGCAAACACCCUUCGAUCCGCAGGUUUCCGAAUGGGGGAACCCAGCAGGGGUCAUGCCCUGCUACCCCGGGCCGAAUCAAAUAGGCUCGGAGGAGGCAACCCGGGGAACUGAAACAUCUAAGUACCCGGAGGAACAGAAAUCAACCGAGAUUGCGCGAGUAGCGGCGAGCGAAAGCGCACCAGCCCAAACCCAUGCACGUGCAAGCUUGAGGGCGUUGCUGCAUGCGGUGUUGUGGGACCGGCCAUUCCCAGGGCCUCAGACCUGGGACGGAGUUACAAAGCUGCGCGGUAGCGGAACGGCAUGGAAAGGCCGGCCGCAGCGGGUAAGAGCCCCGUACGCGAAACCCCGCAGCCUCCGAGGCCGGCACCCGAGUAGUGCCGGACACGUGAAAUCCGGUACGAAUCCGGGGGGACCACCCUCCAAGGCUGAAUACUCUCCUGUGACCGAUAGCGAACCAGUACCGUGAGGGAAAGGUGAAAAGCACCCCGAGAGGGGAGUGAAACAGUACCUGAAACCGUGCGCCUACAAGCAGUCGGAGCACUCUUGCAGUGUGACGGCGUGCCUUUUGUAGAAUGAGCCAGCGAGUUGCGGUAAGCGGCGAGGUUAAGGUUGGAACCGAGCCGCAGUGAAAGCGAGCCUUUAAGAUGGCGAACAUAGUCGCUUGCCGCAGACGCGAAGCCGGGUGAGCUAUCCAUGGGCAGGCUGAAGCGGGGGUAAGACCCCGUGGAGGGCCGAACCCACUUCGGUUGAAAACGGAGGGGAUGACCCGUGGAUAGGGGUGAAAGGCCAAUCAAACCCGGAGAUAUCUCGUUCUCCCCGAAAUAGCUUUAGGGCUAGCCUCGAUCGUUCAGUGCCGGAGGUAGAGCACUGGAUCUUCUAGGGGGCUUCACCGCCUACCGAAAAGAACCAAACUCCGAAUACCGGCACUUAAGAGAUCGGGAGUCAGAGCAUGUGGGCUAAGCUGUGUGCUCGAGAGGGAAACAGCCCAGACCGCCCGCUAAGGUCCCCAAGUUCAUGCUGAGUGGCAAAGGAUGUGCGUUUGCCUAGACAACCAGGAUGUUGGCUUAGAAGCAGCCAUGCAUUUAAAGAGUGCGUAACAGCUCACUGGUCAAGUGGACAUGCGCCGACAAUUCACGGGGCUAAGCAUGACACCGAAGCGGCGGACUGAUUUAUCAGUGGUAGGGGAGCUUCCCAUGGGGGGCGAAGCCGAGGGGCGACCCUCGGUGGACCGCAUGGGAGUGAGAAUGCUGGCAUGAGUAACGAGAGAGGGGCGAGAAACCCCUCCGCCGUAAGCCUAAGGGUUCCUGGGCAAGGCUAAUCCUCCCAGGGUCAGUCGGGAGCUAAGGCGAGGCCGGAAGGCGUAGCCGAUGCACAACGGGUCGAUAUUCCCGUACCGCUGACGAGCGUUUGACCGACGGGGUGACGGAGAAGGGUAGCCGGGCGGGGUUCUGGACGUCCCCGUGAAAGCGCGUAGGGGGGCUCGCAUGGAAAUCAGCGAGCCACAUGCCCCGAGACGCGAGACGAAGGCAUUAGCCGAAGUCGGCGAGCCCAUGCUUCCGAGAAAAACCUCUAGGGAGCUUUGUCGGCGCCCGUACCAAAACCGACACAGGUAGGCGGGUAGAACAUACCGAGGCGAUCGGGAGAACCAUGGUUAAGGAACUCGGCAUACUGGCUCCGUAACUUCGGGAGAAGGAGCGCCCUUUCCGGUGAAGGCCCUCGCGGCCGGAGCGGGGAGGGGCCGCAGCGAAACGGCCCAAGCGACUGUUUAUCAAAAACACAGGACUCUGCUAAGCCGCAAGGCGACGUAUAGGGUCUGACGCCUGCCCGGUGCUGGAAGGUUACGCGGAUGGGUUAGCGCAAGCGAAGCUCUGAAGCCAAGCCCCAGUAAACGGCGGCCGUAACUAUAACGGUCCUAAGGUAGCGAAAUUCCU
rnacentral:rRNA from 1 species